UAUUAGGUUGGUGUAAAAGUAAUUGCGGUUUUUGCCAUUACUUUCAGUGGCAAAAGCCUCAGUUGCUUUUGCACCAACCUAAUA
rnacentral:miRNA from 1 species